GACGAACGCUGGCGGCGUGCUUAACACAUGCAAGUCGAACGGAAAGGCCCUGCUUUUGUGGGGUGCUCGAGUGGCGAACGGGUGAGUAACACGUGAGUAACCUGCCCUUGACUUUGGGAUAACUUCAGGAAACUGGGGCUAAUACCGGAUAGGAGCUCCUGCUGCAUGGUGGGGGUUGGAAAGUUUCGGCGGUUGGGGAUGGACUCGCGGCUUAUCAGCUUGUUGGUGGGGUAGUGGCUUACCAAGGCUUUGACGGGUAGCCGGCCUGAGAGGGUGACCGGCCACAUUGGGACUGAGAUACGGCCCAGACUCCUACGGGAGGCAGCAGUGGGGAAUAUUGCACAAUGGGCGGAAGCCUGAUGCAGCAACGCCGCGUGCGGGAUGACGGCCUUCGGGUUGUAAACCGCUUUCGCCUGUGACGAAGUGUGAGUGACGGUAAUGGGUAAAGAAGCACCGGCUAACUACGUG
rnacentral:rRNA from 1 species